rnacentral:rRNA from 1 species
AUUGAACGCUGGCGGCAGGCCUAACACAUGCAAGUCGAACGGUAACAGGAAGCAGCUUGCUGCUUUGCUGACGAGUGGCGGACGGGUGAGUAAUGUCUGGGAAACUGCCCGAUGGAGGGGGAUAACUACUGGAAACGGUAGCUAAUACCGCAUAACGUCGCAAGCCCAAAGAGGGGGACAUUAUGGCCUCUUGCCAUCGUAUGUGCGCAGAUGGGAUUAGCUAGUAGGUGGGGUAACGGCUCACCUAGGCGACGAUCCCUAGCUGGUCUGAGAGGAUGACCAGCCACACUGGAACUGAGACACGGUCCAGACUCCUACGGGAGGCAGCAGUGGGGAAUAUUGCACAAUGGGCGCAAGCCUGAUGCAGCCAUGCCGCGUGUAUGAAGAAGGCCUUCGGGUUGUAAAGUCCUUUCAGCGGGGAGGAAGGGAGUAAAGUUAAUACCUUGGCUCAUUGACGUUACCCGCAGAAGAAGCACCGGCUAACUCCGUG